AGCGAACGCUGGCGGCAGGCCUAACACAUGCAAGUCGAACGGAUCCUUCGGGAUUAGUGGCGGACGGGUGAGUAACACGUGGGAACGUGCCCUUUGGUUCGGAACAACUCAGGGAAACUUGAGCUAAUACCGGAUGAGCCCUUCGGGGGAAAGAUUUAUCGCCAUUGGAGCGGCCCGCGUCUGAUUAGCUAGUUGGUGAGGUAAAGGCUCACCAAGGCGACGAUCAGUAGCUGGUCUGAGAGGAUGAUCAGCCACAUUGGGACUGAGACACGGCCCAAACUCCUACGGGAGGCAGCAGUGGGGAAUCUUGCGCAAUGGGCGAAAGCCUGACGCAGCCAUGCCGCGUGAAUGAUGAGGGUCUUAGGAUUGUAAAAUUCUUUCACCGGGGACGAUAAUGACGGUACCCGGAGAAGAAGCACUGGCUAACUCUGUGCCAGCCGCCGCCGUAA
rnacentral:rRNA from 1 species